GACGAAGGAUGCAAGCGUUAUCCGGAUUCAUUGGGUUUAAAGGGAGCGUAGGUGGACUGAUAAGUCAGUGGUGAAAUCUUUGGGCUUAACCCAAAAAAUUGCCAUUGAUACUGUUGGUCUUGAGUAUAGUUGCCGUUGGCGGAAUAUGACAUGUAGUGGUGAAAAUACAUAGAGAUGUCAUAGAAACACCGAUUGCGAAGGCAGCUGACGAAACUAUAACUGACACUGAGGCUCGAAAGUGUGGGGAUCAAAACAGGAU
rnacentral:rRNA from 1 species